UAUAAAAUUAAAGUUAAAUAGGAGGAAUAAGUUCUAGUGUUCAAUAGCACUGUAGGAUGACUAUAGUUAAGAAUAAUAUGUAGUUUCAAAUACCUAGAAGAUAUUGAAUGCUCCCGACACAAAGAAAUGACAAAUGUUUGAGAUGAUGGAUAUCCUAAUUACCCUGAUCUGAUCAUAUACAUACGUAUUGCAAUAUCACUUUGUACCCCAUAAAUAUGUACGUGUCAAUUAAAACUUUUUUUUAAACUAAAAAAAAAGCCAGAAGCUAUUGCUUUAAUCUAAUUUAUAUGGCAUUUGGUGAAUAACCUAAUUUAGAAUCACAUACAGGUAUGUACUUCAUAAAUAUUUUAAUAAGCUGUAUAGUCAUUUGUUUUAGCAUUAA